UUGAAUUAAAUCAUAAGAAAAACAAUGAUUAUUGCACAUAUUGUGCUAGUCUCACUACAUCUGUUGAAUAGAAUUUGCAUUCCAAGUGUUUUCAUCUUCACCAUCAUCUUG